rnacentral:misc_RNA from 1 species
GAAUAGUGAUACCGUAGAGUAGAUUGCCGAACAAAAUACACGUAUAUAACAAGCACAAUAAACGAACGCACGAUAGGACGAGGUAGGCGCCAACGAUCACGAUCAACGUGCUUAUUUCACCAAUGGAAUUUCUGCUGCGAAACACGCGCCACAAAGAGAGUUCCUGAAGACAUGCCAAGGCUUUGUAGAACAGUUCGAACCAUGUUGUAAUACCAAGAGUACUGUAAUGUUAUGAUAGUAUAAAUACCAAACUUCUCGAUUGUGUUUGAUUUCAUAGGAUCCAAUGGUUAUGUUAGAUCGGUGUAGCUUUUUUUAUGUUGAAUUUUACUAGAACCAGAAUUCAUUUUGUUUACAUUUAUAUAUAUUUAGAAAUAUGCGAAUGAAUUAUCCAC